AAGGUGCUGCUGUAUUAAAAAUCAUCAUGUAUGUGGGAGGGAACUAUGUAACUUUUUUAUGUUACUUUUUUUUUUACAUACUUCCACUUUUUGCACAGAGAUGCUCCUUGUUAAUUUGAAAGGCAGCCACAAUACAUGAUUUUUCUUAAAUAAGUGUUCCUUUGUGUUUGUGAAUAACAAAGUUCUGAUAAUCAGUAUGUUUUUGGCAGAUUACACAACUGCAUGAUCACUAAUAUGGACAUACUCAGAACAGCAGAAUAUAGGGUAGGGUAAUUUGGUAUUGCCAAACCAGAAGUUCAAAAAUCAUUAGUCAGAUCUCCUAAAAUUAUAAACCUAGUUUAAAAUUACAAGCUUAAAAAACACACAUGGCUUUAUUUACCUUCUGGCUUUUUAGUUUUUAGCAUAUGGUCAGAUUACACUUUUUGGAUUUUCCAUGUAAUCUGCAGAGCUAAUUUAAAAAAAAAAAAAUAGCUGAUUAUACUAUCUCACAACAAAAACUAAGCUGCUUCAGGUUGAUUAGACUCAAUAAAAUCAUGGAAGUUGUCAGCACUGAUUAAACUAAUGCUUGAUGUUUCAAGAAAAAUUAUUUUAUAAUUAAGUGGUUUUAAAACACAUUCAUUUACAUAGACUUCUGACAGUUGCGGAGGCAUGAUUAAAAGCUGGGGUUAGUAUCACUAGUGCUAACCAGAUGAACUAGUGUGCUGUGCAUUUUAGGCAGUUCUUUACUUUCCUAGAACUGCGGCCUCCUCUUCUUGCAGUCAGUGCCUGCUCUACUGACAGUAAUAAAUAAGGGACUUUAAAGCAGAUAGUUUGCAAGUAAUAAUAGAAUCAGAUCAGAAAAGGACCUUGGUAAAUCAUUUAGACUCAUUUUGUGUCUAACUAAAAUCUCCUUUCUUGCAAUUUAAGGUAAUUAAUUUUUUUUUUCCUCAGUUGUGGGCAUGAGAAAAAGUGAUUUUAUUCUUUUAUAUAUAUGAAAAAAACAUGUUUCCCUUUUAUCAUCUUUUCCGUAAGAUGACCUAAAAUCAUUCAAUCUGUGCUCAAAAGUUUUCUCAGCUUCUAGACAUUCUCAUUGCUUUCUUCUCGAUUCUCUGCAUGCAACUUGUAUCUUACUCUUCAAGUGCAUGAUCAAAACUGGAGAUGUUACUAGCUCAUGUCUUAGCAGUUCUGAAGGGGCAGAUUUUACUCCAGUUUAGACAUUUAGGUUCUACCCUUAUUUGCAACAGCAUGAUGCUCCAGACUAAUUUGCAGGAUUUGCAAAAUAACACAUUUAUUCUUUUCAAUGGAAAUUGAAAGUGUAGAUUUAGAUGAGAUCUUGGGAAUUUCUUUACUGUGAGGGUGGUGAGACAUUGGAAGAGGUUGCCCAGAGAAGCUGUGGCUGCCCCAACCCUGUAAGUGUUCAAGGCCAGGUUGGACAGGGCUUGGAGCAACCUGGUGGAAGGUGUCCUUGCCCAUGGCAGGCGGGUUGGAACUGGAUGAUCUUUAAGGUCCCUUCCAACCCAAACCAUUGUAUGCUUCUAUGAAAUUAAGCAAUUGUUCCUUUACUUUCACAGCUAAUGAUUCCAUCUUGCACUUGUUCCUAGUUCCUAUUAAGUAACAUCUUAUGCUUUCAGAUCACAUUUGCACCUUGCCAGGAUUAUUCUGAAUUCUGAUCUUACCUUCUAGUAUACUUGGAAGUCGAAUUCUGCUUAGUCUUGUUUGAAGAUACUAAAAGGAUGCUCUGCAUGGUCCAGGGGGUGAAUAAAUGAAAACAGAUCAUUUUGUCUAGAACUGGUGUGAACAGGGUUAAACAACAUACUGUAAUUAUUGGCAAUAACUGUAAAAUACAGUUAUUUUAAGCAUUAAGGGAAAUAGUGUACUGUAAACACAGGCAAAGACCAAUACUUCAUACUCAGAGAUCAAUAUAAUUUGAUUAAUUGCUCAGAUUCCCUUAAAUGCUUUGUGUAAAGAAUGUUUAUAAUAACUGAACUGUAGCAGCAGUAAAAAUUUCUCAUAUUUUCUCAUUCCUAUGAUUAUUUGGUUUUUACUCAUCUCAGUUUUCCUUCUUGUCAUUCUUAGCAGGUGAAUGGGAAAAACACAGGAGCAGAUGAAACGGCUGGUAACUGGAACGUCACCUUGUUGUCAGGACUGUUAUUAACUCCGGCAACAUCAGUGUUUAACACUGCUGUUUAUCAAGAUGCCGGCCUGCAUUUUACAGUCAAAGAUCUCUGUCAUUUGCAGAUCAUACAUAGCUCAUGCAGUGUGACUGAGCUUCUUGACACCACCAUCCUCAAAUACACCAACUACGCUGUGUGGGACCACCUCUGAAUGUGGGAAGCACAUUUAUUAGAAGUCUUACAAUUCAGACAGCUGAAAAAAAAUUAUAAAAAGAACACCCCACUGCUAACAAGAUCUCCCAGGUUCCAUUUAAGAGAAGCACCUGCUGGGUUCUUCCUUACCCUGCUUUCUGCAACGUAAAGGGUAUCAAGAGGCAAAGAUAAGCACAGUUCCAAAAUCUGAAGAAUUAAAUACUUCAAGCUUAGUAAACAGGAGCAGUAGCAUUUAAAGCCUGUUCUCUAAUGAUCUAAACAGCUCCGAUGGCCCAGUCAUACUAUACAGGCUUUUUACUGAACAGUCUAUAGUUCAUCCAGGAUUUCAGUAACUUUGGCACAGCCCCAAUGACUGGGGAGAAAAGCAGAUCCAAAAUAAAAGAUUAUGGUGUGUGAAAUACACUGAAUUAAUGUAUAUGUGUUUUAAGGGACAUCUUUGUUUUGACUUUGGGUAACAAACCAACAUAGCCUGUGAGGUCUGGAAGGCCACAGACUAUUCCUGCUUUCAUAGUACUGCUCUGUUUGAAGCUAGUAUUUCUAUUUGGGGUCUAAGCCACACUGAACUUGAUCAAAUAAACAUUCUCCAAACAAAA